AUACGUAGGUGACAAGCGUUAUCCGGAUUUACUGGGCGUAAGGGCGUGUAGGCGGUCUUGCAAGUCAGAAGUGAAAUUCCUGAGCUCAACUCGGGCGCUGCUUCUGAAACUGCAGGACUUGAGUGCUGGAGGGGAUAGCGGAAUUCCUAGUGGAGCGGUAAAAUGCGCAAAUAUUAGGAAGAACACCGGUGGCGAAGGCGGCUAACUGGACAGUAACUGACGCUGAGGCGCGAAAGCGUGGGGAGCAAACAGGAUUAGAUACCCGGGUAGUCCACGCCGUAAACGAUGAAUACUAGGUGUAGGGGGUAUCGACUCCCUCUGUGCCGCAGUUAACACAAUAAGUAUUCCGCCUGGGGAGUACGGCCGCAAGGUUGAAACUCAAAUGAAUUGACGGGG
rnacentral:rRNA from 1 species